CGAGAUAGAAGGUACUUCCGUACGGAUCGGUGACAGGUGGUGCAUGGUUGUCGUCAGCUCGUGUCGUGAGAUGUUGGGUUAAGUCCCGCAACGAGCGCAACCCCUAUCGUUAGUUGCCAUCAUUCAGUUGGGCACUCUAAGGUGACUGCCGGCUAAAAGUCGGAGGAAGGUGGGGAUGACGUCAAAUCAUCAUGCCCCUUAUGACCUGGGCUACACACGUGCUACAAUGGGCGGUACAAAGGGUCGCGAACCCGCGAGGGGGAGCCAAUCCCAAAAAGCCGCUCUCAGUUCGGAUUGCAGGCUGCAACUCGCCUGCAUGAAGCCGGAAUCGCUAGUAAUCGCGGAUCAGCAUGCCGCGGUCGAAUACGUUCCCGGGCCUU
rnacentral:rRNA from 1 species